UACGUAGGUGGCAAGCGUUAUCCGGAUUUAUUGGGCGUAAAGGGAACGCAGGCGGUCUUUUAAGUCUGAUGUGAAAGCCUUCGGCUUAACCGGAGUAGUGCAUUGGAAACUGGGAGACUUGAGUGCAGAAGAGGAGAGUGGAACUCCAUGUGUAGCGGUGAAAUGCGUAGAUAUAUGGAAGAACACCGGUGGCGAAAGCGGCUCUCUGGUCUGUAACUGACGCUGAGGUUCGAAAGCGUGGGUAGCAAACAGG
rnacentral:rRNA from 1 species